rnacentral:rRNA from 1 species
UUGCUCUUCAACGAGGAAUUCCUAGUAAGCGCAAGUCAUCAGCUUGCGUUGAUUACGUCCCUGCCCUUUGUACACACCGCCCGUCGCUACUACCGAUUGAAUGGCUUAGUGAGGCCUCCGGAUUGGCUAUUGGGAGCUCGCGAGAGCACCCGACUGCCGAGAAGUUGUACGAACUUGGUCAUUUAGAGGAAGUAAAAGUCGUAACAAGGUUUCCGUAGGUGAACCUGCGGAAGGAUCAUUAGUGAAUCUAGGACGUCCAACUUAACUUGGAGUCCGAACUCUCACUUUCUAACCCUGUGCAUCUGUUUUAAAAUUGGCUAGUAGCUCUUCGGAGUGAACCACCAUUUUUCACUUAUACAAACACAAAGUCUAUGAAUGUAAACAAAUUUAUAACAAAACAAAACUUUCAACAACGGAUCUCUUGGCUCUCGCAUCGAUGAAGAACGCAGCGAAAUGCGAUACGUAAUGUGAAUUGCAGAAUUCAGUGAAUCAUCGAAUCUUUGAACGCACCUUGCGCUCCUUGGUAUUCCGAGGAGCAUGCCUGUUUGAGUGUCAUGAAAUCUUCAACCCACCUCUUUCUUAGUGAAUCUGGUGGUGCUUGGUUUCUGAGCGCUGCUCUGCUUCGGCUUAGCUCGUUCGUAAUGCAUUAGCAUCCGCAACCGAAACUUCGGAUUGACUUGGCGUAAUAGACUAUUCGCUGAGGAUUCCAGACUUGUUCUGGAGCCGAGUUGGGUUAAAGGAAGCUUCUAAUCCUAAAGUCUAUUUUUUGAUUAGAUCUCAAAUCAGGUAGGACUACCCGCUGAACUUAAGCAUAUCAAUAAGCGGAGGA